rnacentral:rRNA from 1 species
AUUGAACGCUGGCGGAAUGCUUUACACAUGCAAGUCGAACGGCAGCACGGGGGCAACCCUGGUGGCGAGUGGCGAACGGGUGAGUAAUACAUCGGAACGUGCCCAGUCGUGGGGGAUAACGUAGCGAAAGGUACGCUAAUACCGCAUACGAUCUACGGAUGAAAGCGGGGGACCGGAAGGCCUCGCGCGAUUGGAUCGGCCGAUGUCAGAUUAGGUAGUUGGUGAGGUAAAGGCUCACCAAGCCGACGAUCUGUAGCUGGUCUGAGAGGACGACCAGCCACACUGGGACUGAGACACGGCCCAGACUCCUACGGGAGGCAGCAGUGGGGAAUUUUGGACAAUGGGCGCAAGCCUGAUCCAGCCAUUCCGCGUGCAGGACGAAGGCCUUCGGGUUGUAAACUGCUUUUGUACGGAACGAAAAGGCUCUGGUUAAUACCUGGGGCUCAUGACGGUACCGUAAGAAUAAGCACCGGCUAACUACGUGCCAGCCGCCGCAGUAA